rnacentral:rRNA from 1 species
UACGUAGGGUGCAAGCGUUGUCCGGAAUUAUUGGGCGUAAAGAGCUCGUAGGCGGUUUGUCGCGUCUGCUGUGAAAACUCGGGGCUUAACUCCGGGCCUGCAGUGGGUACGGGCAGACUAGAGUGCGGUAGGGGAGACUGGAAUUCCUGGUGUAGCAGUGAAAUGCGUAGAUAUCAGGAGGAACACCGAUGGCGAAGGCAGGUCGUCUGGGCUGACACUGACGCUCAUGACACGAAAGGCGUGGG